rnacentral:rRNA from 1 species
AAACUAACAAGGAUUCCCCUAGUAACUGCGAGUGAAGCGGGAAAAGCUCAAAUUUAAAAUCUGAUGGUCUUUGACUAUCCGAGUUGUAAUCUAGAGAAGYGUCAUCCGUGCUGGACCGUGUACAAGUCUCCUGGAAUGGAGCGUCACAGAGGGUGAGAAUCCCGUCUUUGACACGGACUCCCAGGACAUUGUGAUGUGCUCUCAAAGAGUCGAGUUGUUUGGGAAUGCAGCUCUAAAUGGGUGGUAAAUUCCAUCUAAAGCUAAAUAUUGGCGAGAGACCGAUAGCGAACAAGUACCGUGAGGGAAAGAUGAAAAGAACUUUGGAAAGAGAGUUAAACAGUACGUGAAAUUGUUGAAAGGGAAACGCUUGAAGUCAGUCACAUUGGCCAGGAAUCAGCCUUGCUUUUGCUUGGUGUACUUCUUGGUCAAUGGGUCAGCAUCAAUUUUGACCAGUGGAAAAAGGUCAAGGGAAUGUGGCAUCUUCGGAUGUGUUAUAGCCUUUGGUCACAUACAUUGGUUGGGAUUGAGGAACUCAGCAUGCCGCAAGGCCGGGUUUUUAACCACGUUCGUGCUUAGGAUGCUGGCAUAAUGGCUUUAAUCGA